UACAUGGGGUGCAAACGUUGCUCGGAAUUAUUGGGCGUAAAGCGCACGUAGGCGGUUUGUUAAGUCGGAUGUGAAAUCCCUCGGCUCAACUGAGGAAGUGCAUCCGAAACUGGCAAGCUUGAGUACGAAAGAGGAUCGCGGAAUUCCCGGUGUAGAGGUGAAAUUCGUAGAUAUCGGGAGGAACACCGGUGGCGAAGGCGGCGAUCUGGGUCGAUACUGACGCUGAGGUGCGAAAGCGUGGGAGCAAACAGG
rnacentral:rRNA from 1 species